rnacentral:rRNA from 1 species
AUACGGAGGAUCCGAGCGUUAUCCGGAUUUAUUGGGUUUAAAGGGUGCGCAGGCGGGAGAUUAAGUCGGCGGUGAAAUUUUGCAGCUCAACUGUAAAAAUGCCUUCGAAACUGGGUUCCUUGAGUGUAGAUGAAGUAGGCGGAAUUUGUGGUGUAGCGGUGAAAUGCAUAGAGAUCACGAGGAACUCCGAUUGCGCAGGCAGCUUACUAAACUACUACUGACGCUCAGGCACGAAGGCGUGGGGAUCAAACAGGAUUAGAUACCCUGGUAGUCCACGCAGUAAACGAUGAUUACUAGCUGUUUGCGAUACAAUGUAAGCGGCUGAGCGAAAGCGUUAAGUAAUCCACCUGGGGAGUGCGUUCGCAAGAAUGAAACUUAAAGGAAUUGACGGGG